CGGGGAGGUAGUGACGAAAAAUAACGAUACGGGACUCAUCCGAGGCCCCGUAAUCGGAAUGGGUACACUUUAAAUCCUUUAACGAGGACCAAUUGGAGGGCAAGUCUGGUGCCAGCAGCCGCGGUAAUUCCAGCUCCAAUAGCGUAUAUUAAAGUUGUUGCGGUUAAAAAGCUCGUAGUUGAAUCUGUGUGUCACAGUGUCGGUUCACCGCUCGCGGUGUUUAACUGGCAUUAUGUGGUACGUCCUACCGGUGGGCUUAGCUCCUUGCGGGCGGUCCAACUAAUCUCCCAUCGCGGUGCUCUUCACUGAGUGUCGAGGUGGGCCGGUACGUUUACUUUGAACAAAUUAGAGUGCUCAAAGCAGGCUACCUUCGCCUGAAUACUGCGUGCAUGGAAUAAUGGAAUAGGACCUCGGUUCUAUUUUGUUGGUUUUCGGAACCCCGAGGUAAUGAUUAAUAGGGACAGAUGGGGGCAUUCGUAUUGCGACGUUAGAGGUGAAAUUCUUGGAUCGUCGCAAGACGGACUAAAGCGAAAGCAUUUGCCAAAAAUGUUUUCAUUAAUCAAGAACGAAAGUUAGAGGUUCGAAGGCGAUCAGAUACCGCCCUAGUUCUAACCAUAAACGAUGCCAGCUAGCGAUCCGCCGAAGUUCCUCCGAUGACUCGGCGGGCAGCUUCCGGGAAACCAAAGCUUUUGGGUUCCGGGGGAAGUAUGGUUGCAAAGCUGAAACUUAAAGGAAUUGACGGAAGGGCACCACCAGGAGUGGAGCCUGCGGCUUAAUUUGACUC
rnacentral:rRNA from 1 species